UGGAGCUUGUUCUUGAGGUCAGGUCUGAAGGUACAGAUGAACAUGAUCGGUAUGGAGAUGAUGCAGAUAAGGAGCAGUAGAGAGGGGCUGCUUACAUACAGGGCUGCAGAGAAUGAAAGUCUUUUACAUUGUCCAUGAGCAAAUAUUUAUUGAGUGUCAGCUGUGUAGGUACUGUGAAUACAAAGUGAACAAAAUAGACAUGGUUCCUGUGCUUGUUGAUCAUACAGUCUAAUGGGGCAGACAAAAGUAGAGACAAUUAAGUGAAUAAUGGAAGUUUUCAGAACAAAGAAUAAUGGGGAAAUGACAUUUCAGCUGAGACCCAGAGGUCAAAAAAGAUUUCAGUACAGAGGGUGGGGGCAAGAGGAUUCCAGGUAAAAAGAUGAUAUGGCCGCACCUGCGGCAUAUGGAGUUCCCAGGCUAGGGGUCGAAUCAGAGCUGCAGCUGCAGGCCUAGCCACAGCCAUAGCAAUGCCAGAUCUGAGCCAUGUCUGUGAUCUGCAACACAGCUCAUGGCAACACGGGAUCCUUCACCCACUGAGCAAGGCCAAGGCUCGAACCUGCAUCAUCAUGGAUGCCAGUCAGAUUCAUUUCCACUGAUCCACGAUGGGAACUCCAGGAAUGCGUAUUUUGGAGAGAGGGUGCUGUGGAGACCAGGUGAAGCAGGAGAGCUUUAGGGGAGAACUUAGGACACUGGGUGUUAGAUACAGAAGUUAGGGUAGAUUAUGUCAGAGCAGAAAGAAGCAUGAAGUCGUUUAGCAUGGGUUUAUCUGAGCCGUGAAGUGGAAAAACUUUUCUCUAGAGACUCAAAAUGGGAGUUAAAAACAGUAACUAGAUUCAGACUGGGCAGGAAGGUGAAAAUAGGAAGACAAGUCAAAGUUGAUUGGGGUCUAGUGACAUAGACUAGCGUAGUAAAAAUAGAAUUCCAGGAAAAAAAUUAUUGAGGACUUUAACCCUGAACCAAGCCAGCCGAAUAAUUUAUACUGUUCUCUCACCUCUGAAUAAUCUCUGCCCUUACAUACUACUGAGUUAUAAUGGAGUUUCAUUAUGAACACGAACCUUUUAUAUGCUACACUGUGCUAAACUAGGGAAAAAAGGAUUUCCACCAGAGAGAGAAAGAGGGGGAAGGUCUCCCCCUUUGUAUUUUUGUAUAGGUAGCAGCAGUGAACUUAAGGCAUAUGGUUAUGAAGUCUCAGCAAAAUUAUACAAAGCAGGGAGGGGUAAUUCUCCAAAAGGAAAUUAGUAUGGAUGCUAGGCAGCUAAAAAGAAAUGUCUCCUUUUCACUCUCAAAAAAGUUUCAUGAUUUUUAAAGAGAACCCUAAUAUACUGUUGGUGAGAAUGUAAACUGGUGCAGCCACUCUGGGAAACAGUAUGGGGAUUCCUCAAAGAUUUAAGAGUGGAACUAACAUAACAUCCAGCAGUACCCACUUCCAGGUAUUUAUCCAAAGAAUACCAAACCACUAAUCUGAAAAGAUAUAUGCACCCCUGUAUUCAUCACAGCAUUAUUUACAAUUGCCAAGAUACGAAAAUAACUGAAGUGCCCAUCAAUAGAUGAAUGAAUAAAGAUGUGGUAUAUAUACACAAUGUUAAAGGUGAAAUCUUGCCAUUUGCAAUAAUGUGGAUGGACCUUAAGGAUAUUGUGCUAAGUGAAAUAAAUCAGAGGAAGACUAAAUACCAUAUGAUUUCACUCAUAUGUGGAAUCUAAAAAACAAACAAACAGGAACCCAAAAUAAAUUAAACCAAACCAAACGUGUUGAUACAGAGAACAGAGUAGUGGCUUCCAGAGGGGAAGAGGCAGAGGGAAGGAGAAAUGAAUAAAGGGUAUCAACAGUUUGGUGACAAGUGGAAUCUAAAUUUUUGGUAGUGACCACCCUUGUAGGGUAUAUAGAAGUAGAAACAUAAUGUACAUAUGUAAUUAAUAUAAUGUUACCAACUAAUGUUACCUCAAUUAAAAGAAUUUCAUAGUUCUUCACAUUGUGGUACUUUACUUGUGUAAGACUAAUGGUAGCUAGAAAUUAUUAAGUGCUUUGCUCAGUACAGUUUAUACUGUGUCUGAUUUCAUCCCUUUACAUGCUGCAUCUUUAAUCAUCACAGCAAUCUUGUGAGUAAUCACUUGUGUAAACUUACCCAGUAAUAGGUGUGAGAACCAGGCGCAGAUUCAGGUGGUGUGUGCUGCACUGCCUCUGUGCUGUUUAAAAAAUUAUCAUGAAUUAGUUAAUGCUUUUAAAUAAAAUUGGAUUUUAUUAAUUUUAAUGGAUGUGCAUAUUUUUAAAUGGUAGUACCAUGUAUCCCUCUCUUUCUCUCUCUCUCUCUCUCUCUCUCUCUCUCGUGCGUGCGUACACGCACACGCACACACACACAUACAUUAUGUAAUUUAUUCAGAAAUGUUAGUGAGGCAGUUCCUCACUUUCCCAAGGCUUCUUGGCCGUAACUGAGGAAUCACUGGCUCUCCUUGUAUUGAUGUGCGGUUCUCUCCUGAUCGUGGCAUUUCUUCUCCCCACUGUGUGACAGUCAGUAGUGGUCCUGAGUAAUCUAAGGCAGUCACUGUAGCGUGCCCCCCCCCCCCCCCCCCCCCCCCCCCCCCCCCCCAGGGAUAGAUUCAGAAAUAGGCAUGUUACCAUUCUAGGCUGAGGAAAGUUUGCAGAAGCUUCUGGGGAAGACUUUUUUCUUUGUCCAAGACAUGGGUAAGAGGCAAUCUUGUCAAAUCCAACAAGGAAACCUGCCCUAGAGGGUGGCUGAGGGAAUUGCAAAGGGAUGGAGCUAGGUUAAGCCAACCCUAAAUUCCACCCUACCCCUGAAAUAACACUUCUGUGAGCCAGUGAAUUUUCCUCACGUUUAAGCAGUUUGAGGUGUGAUUUCUGUUCACUUGGCUAGUGAUAUCUCAGCAGAUGUCAUAAUGCAGAAUUGCAAUUGGAACAGAUUCCUUCUGCUGGAUGUUCAAAGUAAAAUUAUCAAGAUUCUGUUAAAUAGGCUAGUACCCUAGCCUAGCAAGGUAGAAAUUGCAUGAAUUAGAGUCAGAGGACCUGGGUUGUAAUUUCUACUUUGCCACUAGCUACAUAUAUCACAUACCUAAAUUUCCCUGUCAGCAAUAACAGGGAGGUUGCCCUGAAUAAGCUGUAAUGUACUUUUCAUCUCAUAUCCUCUUAAUAUUGGAACCCAUGAAAAAUGUCUUGUUAAACUUAAUUAGGAAUUAAGGAGAUGUUUUUUGAAAAACAGAGAGCCAUCUCAGGUUUUUAUUAUAAUGUAGUAGCCCCAAGGUACUCUGUUUCUUCAACUUCUCUGUAAGUAGCCCUGAUAAAAUUAUUUGAACAGAGGUUUAAAAAUUGCAUUCCCUGCCCCUAUCGCCAUGGGCUUAAAACCAGCACUUUAAAUAAACGGUUAUGAUUCUUCAGAUUGUUCAUCAUCUGUUUCUUUAACAUUUUACUGUGGAAACUUUCAAAUAUAUAUAGCAGUGGAAUAGUAUAGUAAAUCCCUGUAUAUUCAUCUUAUUCAUCUUCUCACCUCAGUAAUUAUCAAUAUUUUGAAUUUUUUUUAAUUUGUGCCUUUUUUGCUUUUUAGGGCCACACCCAAGGCAUAUGGAGGUUCCCAGGCCAGGGGUUGAAUUGGAACUACAGCUGCCGGCCUACACCACAACAACGCCAGAUCUGAGCUGUGCCUGUGAUCUGUACCACAGCUCACGGUAAUGCCUGAUCCUUAACCCACUGAUCAAGGCCAAGGAUUGAACCCACAACCUCAUGGUUCCUAAUUGUAUUCACUUCCACUGCUCCACAGCAGGAACUCCAAUAUUUUGACAGUUUUGAAACCCAUAGCUCUUAAGUGCUUAUAGUUGGCUCUUCUAGCAGAGACUUUUUUCUCCAGCUAAACUUUGGAGCUAAAUUAGGUCUCCUUAACUUUAAGGUUUCAGUUGUCUGCAUAUAUUUAUUUAAUGCUGUAGUUUUUAGAUCAAAAAAGUUAUAAUGGAGUUCCCAUGCGAGCCUGGCUAGUAUCCUGGG
rnacentral:lncRNA from 1 species